UACGUAGGGUGCGAGCGUUAAUCGGAAUUACUGGGCGUAAAGCGUGCGCAGGCGGUUCGUUGUGUCUGGGGUGAAAGCCCCGGGCUUAACCUGGGAAUGGCCAUGGAAACUGGCGAGCUGGAGUGUGGCAGAGGGGGGUGGAAUUCCGCGUGUAGCAGUGAAAUGCGUAGAGAUGCGGAGGAACACCGAUGGCGAAGGCAGCCCCCUGGGUUGACACUGACGCUCAGGCACGAAAGCGUGGGGAGCAAACAGG
rnacentral:rRNA from 1 species